GCGGGCGUAGCUCAUUUGGUUAGAGCGCCAGUUUGUGGCACUGGAGGUAGUGGGUUCGAUCCCCAUCGCUCGCC
rnacentral:tRNA from 1 species